CACAGAAUGGUUCCAAWCGUUUWUCRACCAUUCAUUUUUUCACAUACCGAAUUUUACAAACACUUCAAAUUAAGUAUUUGUUUGGUGUAGGCUUACCUUGGUGUGACGUUUUGAUAACCGUGUAAUUCUCUCUCGGACAAGGUCUCUAUAGGUGACAACUUCCGGUUGGCAGGUCUCUAUAGGUGACCAGGGGAUUCUCUCUAACACAUGCAAAUGCCUCCGUGGAGCUCAUCAGUGGAGCCAUGCAGCCUAUUUUGGCAGUUCACAAUAUCUGCCGUACAGAUGUGGAAUUCGAGUGGAGGAAGCCCAACCAGGUGCAGUUAGCGGAGGACCUGUACCCGGCUGAAGACUACAACCCUCUGUCCCGAGAGCCCACAGAGGAGGAUCUUCAGU